UGACGGCAUUCGGGACUUGUGGGACUAUUAUUUACGCUGCAACAGAUAAAAAAUUUAGAAGACAACUACACUUUUGGUACCUUUCCGCUCCUGCAGUUUUUGACUAAACUUAUACUCAUCUUUUGACUCGAAGUUUACCCGCUUCUGAAAGAGAAAAAGUUUUUGCUGAGCUACACCGCAAAUAUGCACCGGCCUGAAUUUGUACCAAAAGAAUAUAGAGAUAAAUUUCGACUUUGCCAGUCAAACGUUCCCAGAGUAUCCGACUUUAACAUAAUUAAAAGAACGUUUCCUGAACUUCAAGAAGAAUCUUUAGGCUGUGCCAGCGUGGGGCAAGCACACUUUGGAAUUUUAAAUAACAGAGACAAAGUUAUUGUAAAAGUUCAACAUCCAGAUGUGGAAGCUC